rnacentral:lncRNA from 1 species
UGGAGACACACAGUUCUUCAUGCUGUUGACAUCGUGAAGGUUGUCAUUUUGUUUUCGUGUGCUGUCCAUUUCUUAGUGACGGAGCAUCUGGAGAAGACACUCUUGACUUCACCAAAAGACCUGUAGAUACACCUAACGUUGGAGGAUUGAAAAUGUUAUCUUAUGUUGUUCCUGGAACUGAAGAAGAGUGGAAAUAUUUUUAACACCAUCAAA